UUCAAAAAUUUGUUCGAAACUCGACUCAAAGGAGUUGGAGUCAAUUAUCUUCGAUACACUGCAUGGCUCCGAGAAGCUGAUAUCAGGCCUCUUAUGCCCAUCGUCAAGCAAAUCAUGCAAGAAGAAGUGAUGACUGACGGAGCUAAUACUGCUAGAGGGACUGCUGAAAAUGAUAUAGAUCCGGAUGUUGUCGAAGGAAAG
rnacentral:rRNA from 1 species